GGAGAGCUCAAGGAGGGAUUUUCACCAAGCAACACUAGUUUUGGGGCAUUAUGAAACAAUUGGAGUCGUUGGAAGAGCUUGGAAGUCGGUUAUGGAAAUUUCUGAGCGAGGCACAUGCAUCUCUAGUGGCCUAGUGGGCGUAGCGUCAUGGUUGAUACAGAAACUUAGAUGAGCUGCACUUCCCGAGACGACCCACAGCCAACAGAGUCUCUUUUAAAUUACUAUAUUUACUUUCUAUCCAAUAUUGUAUUCCAGACGGUUGUUGUACUACAUUAUUUCCUAAAAAUUCCUCAUG